CCGGGCCCCGCGCGCUCCCGGCCAGCGCGCCCUCGCCAGCUGAGCUCUGAGUUCUGGGCUAGCUCCCCAGAGGCCUAGGCGCCGCCGCCGCCAGGGCGCGGGGCAGACAAAGGAGGCAGACAAAGGCGGGCGCAGCCCAGCAGCCGUGCGGGCACCGGGCGAGGCAGGCCCACUCCUCCCGGUAGCGGGAAGGAUGACCACGCUCACACGACAAGACCUCAACUUUGGCCAAGUGGUGGCCGAUGUGCUCUGCGAGUUCCUGGAGGUGGCUGUGCAUCUCAUCCUCUACGUGCGCGAGGUCUACCCCGUGGGCAUCUUCCAGAAACGUAAGAAGUACAACGUGCCAGUCCAGAUGUCCUGCCACCCGGAGCUGAAUCAGUAUAUCCAGGACACACUGCACUGCGUCAAGCCUCUCCUGGAGAAGGUGAGGGUGCACUGGGCUCCCCAGCCACCUCACCCCAUGCUCAUCCCUGUCCCUGUGUGCUCACAGUCCAACUCUGGGAUGGGGUGAUGCUAGGACUCUGGGGGGUCUUCAUGGCUCCGAUACCCAGAAGCCUGUUCCCUGCACUCUGGAGACCAUCCCAACCCAGGGGUAGGCCCCAAGGCAUGUGGGCCAUGUUCAGGGUGCUUGGGCCUGGGAGCCUGGGUUGGAGCUGGCUCUGAGUAGGGGCUGCCCCGGAGGGUUCGGGGUUCUUCUCACAUCCGUCCCGUUCUCCAUGCUAAACAUUCUGUCUGAGCCGAGCCCCUCAGGGUUUCUUCCCCAUCUAGUCCUAAUCUCAGACUUCCUGGGACCUUCCCUAUGGGGCUCGGGCAUUCUGUCAGCCUACACCACUCAUGCUGGAGGGUGCCAGCUUCUCAAACCCGCUGUCUGUGCUUUUGGGGACCCCCAGCCUAGCAGCCGAGCAGGGCUGUGAGUGGGCCAUUUCCCCUCCUUCCUUGGGCAAGGGGGUGGAGGCGGGUGGUGGAGUAGGGGUGGGGUGCCUGGCUCUGCAGUGGGGGUUCCUCUCUUUGCAGAAUGAUGUGGAGAAAGUGGUGGUGGUGAUUUUGGAUAAAGAGCACCGCCCAGUGGAGAAAUUCGUCUUUGAGAUCAC
rnacentral:sRNA from 1 species